rnacentral:lncRNA from 1 species
AGAGACACUGUAUAAUUAGGAGUGGGGCUAUAUAGAAUAAGUAGUUAUUUUCAAAAUGUAGAUAUCUAGUGUAUAGUGUAAACAGGAAUAGAUACUGCUGAAAAGAUGGUUCAACAAGUAGAAUGGAUGAAUAGUCAAAAAAAAUAGUUAUCAUCUAUAGUAUAGGAGUUGGUAUCUCGGGGUAGUAUAAGGAGGAUGGGAGAGAGGAAGAAAAGGCUACAC